UGCAGUCGAACGAGGUAGCAAUACCUAGUGGCGGACGGGUGAGGAAUACGUAGGGAUCUGCCCUUAAGUGGGGGAUAACCCGGGGAAACCCGGAUUAAUACCGCAUGAUCUCGCAAGAGCAAAGAGGGAGACCGCAAGGCCUCUCGCUUUUGGAGGAACCUACGUCGGAUUAGCUAGUUGGUGAGGUAACGGCUCACCAAGGCGACGAUCCGUAACUGGUCUGAGAGGAUGAUCAGUCACACCGGAACUGAGACACGGUCCGGACUCCUACGGGAGGCAGCAGUGGGGAAUAUUGGACAAUGGGCGAAAGCCUGAUCCAGCAAUACCGCGUGUGUGAAGAAGGCCUUCGGGUUGUAAAGCACUUUAAGUUGGGAAGAAAAAGCUUCACCUAAUACGUGGAGCCUUGACGGUACCGACAGAAUAAGCACCGGCUAACUCUGUGCCAGCAGCCGCGGUAAUACAGAGGGUGCUAGCGUUAAUCGGAUUUACUGGGCGUAAAGCGUGCGUAGGCGGUUUGAUAAGUCGAUUGUGAAAGCCCCGGGCUCAACCUGGGAAUUGCGGUCGAUACUGUCAGACUAGAAAACGGUAGAGGGAGGUGGAACUCCAGGUGUAGCGGUGAAAUGCGUAGAUAUCUGGAAGAACACCGAUGGCGAAGGCAGCCUCCUGGGCCUGUUUUGACGCUGAGGCACGAAAGCGUGGGUAGCAAACAGGAUUAGAUACCCUGGUAGUCCACGCCGUAAACGAUGAGAACUUGACGUUGGUUUGCUUAGCAAAUCGGUGUCGUAGCUAACGCGAUAAGUUCUCCGCCUGGGGAGUACGGCCGCAAGGUUGAAACUCAAAGGAAUUGACGGGGGCCCGCACAAGCGGUGGAGUAUGUGGUUUAAUUCGAUGCAACGCGAAGAACCUUACCUGGUCUUGACAUGUCAAGAAGUCUGCAGAGAUGCGGAUGUGCCUUCGGGAACUUGAACACAGGUGCUGCAUGGCUGUCGUCAGCUCGUGUCGUGAGAUG
rnacentral:rRNA from 1 species